CCACCGUGACCUUGGUCUACUGAAAUGACAUUGGAGUGAAGGUCUUAAUUUUCUCUCUCCCCCUUUUCUUUUUCUCUUUUUCUUUAUCCUCCCCCCCACCCCUUUUUCAGUGUGUUUAAUACUGCUGUGGAUUAGAGAGUCUCUGCUGUAAAGGAGAGGGGGCUCAAUUGGCAUCAGCGUUAUUAAUUGAUCUGUAAGCAGUUCUGUGAGGCAUGCCUUACAGUAAGCCGGCCUGGAGCUAAACAACUCUGCCAUCGUCAGGCUCUGUUCAGCAACGCAAAAUAUGGAGAGACAUUGCAGCCGCUCUGCAAGUCCUGGAAGAGCUGCUGAAAGGCUGCUGCGGUUCCUCGCUACAGGCACUGUGCCGGAGAGGUGUCUUCAGCCCAUUGGAGCCCACCUAAGAACCCAGAGAGCCCAGAGGAGAUGUUUGGUGGCAGACCCUUGCUAGGACGGCCCAAGAACAAGGAGAAAGUGGUGGAAGAUACCUCUGCAACUGGGACCUUCAGCAGAUGCUGAUCCUGCUGAGCUGUCUUUGAGGACCUGCCAACACUGAGAAGAGAGACGAGAGAGGAAGAAAAAGGACUGGACUGUAUUUAGAAGGAAGGAGUCCCUUGGAGAAGAGCCCCAGGGUGGUCCUGAGGCAGGACAGAGCCUCCGAGGGCACCACCUGGCCCUGCUCACCGAGAGCAAGCUCCUCUCCCAAGCAAACCCUUGAAGUGAGCAGAAAGUGAGGGCUCUGACAGCCACCCAUACUUGAACCCAUCCGGCUUCCCACAAGACUGUUCAGAAACAAGAAAAGUCACCUAUGAAUGUUAAGCUUAAAAAAGCAGCAGCACUGAUGAGUAUUUUUGGCAUGAACUGAAGAAUCCUUUUGUUCCAGCUACAGCCCACAUGCUGAUUCAGCUCAGCAGUUCUCCUUCUCUGUUCUUUUCCUUUCCCAGGGCUUUCUUGAACACCACUUCUAGGUUGCUGUUUUCUUCCAGCCUGCUUCAGUUAUGUUUUGUAAUGACGGUUCAUAAAAAUAUUGGCACGUACUCUCAACUGGUGGCAAUAGUCUGCAGGAGCAUGCUAUCAGUCAGGAUAUGACUGCUCUUUUUUCAUGUUUUUGCUAUAUUUAUUUGAUCUCAUCUACAAUAAAGUCUUUUGGUACUGCUGAAGUGAUGGAAAGGCAUCGCAUGGUAAAUGGUAAUCAAGCUUUUCAAUAUGAAAUGGUUUGAAUAAAUUUGCUUCCUAGAGUCUAUCCAGAGCAAAUUCCCGCUGUAAUUUAUCACUGAGUCACUGCCCAGACCGCUCAGCAUUAGCAGAUGAGGUUUUCCUGGGACGGAGCGGGUGGCGUCACCCCUACACACUGUGCCUGUGUGUGACUUGCUGACCUGGGCUCCAGACAAAAGGCAAUUUUAAGUAGAAAUGGAUCCUGUCUGAGUUCUGUUUCUUUCCGGUGUAACACUUUAUUUACUAAAUGAUAGCUGAAACUAUAGAUUUUUCAUCCUGAAUACACCAGUAUUUCAAAUAAAGCCAGAAUCACAACUCACUGCACAUUAAGGUGUCUUAUAUGUUGAGUGGCUAUUAUAUCUAGAGAAAUGAAAAAAACAGAUUUUUGAAAAAUGUAAGGGAAAGGAUAAAGACAAUAGUCUGAACAUGCUGUGCAAAAAAGAGGGAAAAUACUUAAGACGAGCCAGAUCUUAACCAGAAUUUAAAUAUCCUCCCAAACACUCAAAAUUUCCCAGCAACAGUCAUGUUUUCGUUCUCAGGAGUAAUUUAUUUGAAUAGCGCACAUGAAGAAAUUGCAUCUGCACUGGCUGAGCUCUGUAUAAGAACCAAAGGGGAAAAACCAUCUAAUUAACAAGCGAUAAAACACUGAUGUGAUGAGGUAAGCUAUUUUCCCAGUGAAGGUUGCUCGCUGUCCAACAGAGCUAAUGUUUCCCCUCUAGAGAUGUCCUCAACUGCUGUGUUCAGUAGCAUUCACAGAAAAUAAGGUUGGUUCAUAUGGUUUACCCAGGCUGUAUUUUUAUUAAGUGACAUCGGACAUGCCAGAGAGGAGUCUCUUUUAGUGAUGAUUUACCUCACCUGGGCUGGAGACACGACGUUUCCUUCAUGGCAUCACAGGAGCUCCAGGGACAUUCGCUGCGUUUCAAGCCCCAAGAGGUAACAAUGUAAUGUGUUUGUUUGAUUUCAUCAUGCAAAACCAAAAUCGUCUUACACAAAACUUUAGGCAGAUCAGUCUGUACUUUUUAUUUUCCCCUUUUUUUGGCCCUGAGCGUGACGAAUAGUUUCUAAGUUACCCAAUAUGGAA